AAUUUUUUAAAUAGUUGGGGCAAUUUGGUAAAUAUAUGAAUCUUAAAGUCUGGACUAAAAAAAAUACAACGCUUCGUCGCCCUACUCUCACUUUCCCUCUUCUCCUUCUAGGUCACCCGAUACUUUUUCUCCUCCCACUACAUCUCCGAUCUGCAACCAACCGGCCACUGCCUCCGCCAACGACAACGACAGCACCUCCGCCAUCACCGCGGCAGCAAAUCACUCCAGCUCCUCCAAAGUCGUCGAUGCUACAUACCUUCUCCCUCCCACUACCGGUAUAACCUGCAACCCACCGCCCCUUAACCUACAGCCCCUCUAAAGUCGUCGCCUCACUCUCUUUUCGCCGCCAUCAUCGUUGAAGUUGCUGCUGUAGCCGGUGGACCUUACCAUUGAAUCCAAUUUCAGCUUUUUCCCUCAAAGUUUUGGUUGAGAAUAGUAUGUUACAAGUGAAGUUGCUGACAUCAUUGGUUGCUAUUGGAACACAUGACUUGGACACAAUAGAAGGACGAUUCACAUAUGAGGCUUUGCCAAAAUCAAAAAUUGAGUUUAAGCCAUUAAAACAGGAGAUGCACUUUUUGAAUUGAGAACUUCACUUAAGGAUUUACCAGAUCAACUCAUAGAUUGGAAUCACAUCAAGUUAACCCUUGCACAUGGUAUAAAGUUAGUUGUGAUUCAAAUAAUAAUGAUUUUCUGUGUCUUUCAUGGGAUUUACAGGAACCUUGUCACCAAGAAUACAAGUUUUGUCAAGGCUUACAAUAUUUUUUUUACAAGGGAAUCAAAUAACAGGGGGGAUACCUAAAGAAUAUGGGAACCUGAGUACCCUCACAAUGUUGGAUCUUGAAAGCAAUCAAUUAAAUGGUCAAAUACAAUCUUCACUUGGAAAUCUUAAAAAAUCUUCAAUUUUUGAUCUUGAGCCAAAACAACCUUGAAGGGCCUAUCCCUGAAUCACUUUCAUGUAAGUUAAUCAAUACUCUAAAAAGAUCAACAUUAUCUGAUUAUGUAGUUAAUAUUUCUAAUUUUGUUUAGUGUCAUUGUAAUUACUUUUUGAAUGUAGUUUACUUGGUUCCAACAAUCUGAGUGGUGAAUACCUGAUCAUUUAUUUUAGCUUUCUAAAGUCAAGUACAUAUAUUUUAACUUUUUAAAAUAGAAUUCUUAACUUCUUAUUUAUUCAUGAUGUUGAAUUGUGGUUUUAAUAAUACCCACCCUUGUGCUUCCACUUCUGGAGGUAUUUUUUUAUAGGAGUGAAAAUUGCUUUCUAUUUGGAUGAAAUUUGCUUCAAUUGGGAAGAAAUCAAAGGCAGGAAUUGUAAUUGGUGGAGUUCUUGCCCUUCUUCUGGUUGGGUAGACACAAAGGCUACAAACGUGAGGUCUUUGUUGAUGUUGCAGACGUGUAUUGUCUCUGCCUGCAAUAAUCAAUGGAAAUUAUGUUUUCAUUGUGGAUGCGUUCACUAUAUUGUGAUAAAAAUAGUAAAGUAUAUUGCUAUUUCCUUCUCUAUUGGUUGUUGACAAUAUGGAUUGAAAUUUAUGGUAUUUGACAAUAUGGAUUGAAUAUGUAAUUAUUUUUAGGUUUUAAUAUCUUCAUUAAUUUGUAAAUUUUUUUUAUAAUGCCAAAAUCCGUCGCUAAUCUGUCACAAAAAAAUUUUGUAGUCAUUUCCAGAUUCCAUUGGUAAUCUGUUAGUAAGUUAUUCGCAAUUCUGUCGGUGAUCA